rnacentral:tRNA from 1 species
GCGGCUUUAGUUUAUCGGUAGAAUGCAACCUUCCCAAGGUUGAAGGACGGGUUCAAUUCCCGUAAGCCGCA